rnacentral:RNase_P_RNA from 3 species
CUAGUGGUAAUCUCGCACUUGGAGCACCCGUACGAGUACCUGGUUACUCUGGUUGUUUGCUUCGGGAAGGUCUGAGAUAAGGCAUGCGAAUAUGCCUCAGCAAGGCAGCUCUUUGAGAAGAGCGUUCGCUACCAGCAAUACAUCAGUUGUGGAUGACGCAGUGUCCUGGCCGCUUCUUGAAAGGUGCAAACCUCUCGGUUUCGGCUCGGGCACUGAUUGAAAACAGCGGAUUGCCAGCCAUAUGAGUCAAAUAUGCGAGCUAUCAACCUGUGGGGGGGGGGGUCCGUCCUCCCCAUGGGCGGUAGAACUCAAUUCAGACUAAUCUAUCACUAG